UCCUUGGUCUCGUCUGAGCAGUUAGGUUCCGCCUGUGGUUGCACAUUUGGUUCAUCUGAGGAUGUUCAGGUUAUGUGACCUUCAACCUGGGAGUCCGUGGCAACUGAAAAACAACUCACCAUUUUAUUACACAAAAUUGAACCAGAAUGGGCUGGUUCUGCGGUUACACCUCCACCACCAUCCCUCCUCUUCUCACACAGGCUGGGGCUGCUGGUUUGUUUCUACAAUGACCUGGAAUUGCUGGAUGCCACUGUGGCUCAAGUCCUGCUUUACCAGAUGAUCAAGUGCAGCCACCUGAGGGGCUUCCAGGCUGGCGUCCAGAAGCUCAAAGCAGAACUCCUGGACAUUGCCAUGGAGAACCAGACCCUCAAUGAGACCCUGGGUUCUUUGUCGGAUGCAGUUGUAGGUUUGACCUACAGCCAACUGGAAUCCCUCUCCCCCGAGGCUGUGCACGGAGCCAUCUCCACCCUCAACCAGGUCUCAGGUUGGGCCAAGAGCCAGGUCAUCAUCUUGUCUGCCAAAUACUUGGCCCAUGAGAAGGUGCUGUCUUUCUACAAUGUCAGCCAGAUGGGUGCACUGCUGGCUGGGGUCAGCACCCAGGCCUUCUGCAGCAUGAAACGCAAGGACAUCUCGCAGGUCCUGAGAAGUGCCGUCUCCCAGUAUGUAUCCGACUUGUCACCUGCCCAGCAGCAAGGUAUCCUCAGCAAGAUGGUCCAAGCGGAAGACACUGCCCCAGGCAUCGUGGAGAUACAAGGGACUUUCUUUAAGGAAGUGUCUCUCUUUGAUUUAAGGAGGCAACCUGGAUUCAACUCUACAGUCCUGAAGGAUAAGGAACUUGGAAGGAGCCAGGCUCUGUUCCUGUAUGAGCUUCUGUUAAAGACCACCAGAAGGCCUGAGGAGCUUUUGAGGUAGGAAAAUGUAACUCGGCCUGGGUGCUGAACAGGCUUUUCAGAGCCUUCUGCCAGAGCAGCCUACUUUUACAGGUGGGAGAGUUAGGCAGUCACGUCUGUAGCUUGUAUCUGAUCAUAUCUGCCUUCUCUUGCUCUUUCUUUCCUUUCCUCCUCACUUCCUUCCUCUCCCGAGUGCCUUGUUUUGUUUUCUAGUGCUGGGCAGCUGGUCAAAGGCGUGACCUGCUCACACAUUGAUGCCAUGAGCACUGACUUCUUUCUGGCCCAUUUCCAGGAUUUUCAGAACAACUUCGCCCUGCUUUCACCCUAUCAGGUUAAUUGUUUGGCGUGGAAAUACUGGGAAGUUUCCAGAUUGUCUAUGCCACCUUUCCUCUUGGCUGCACUCCCGGCCCACUACCUGGCUUCUGUCCCAGCCUCCCAGUGUGUGCCCUUUCUGAUCAGCCUGGGGAAGAGCUGGUUGGACUCCUUGGUUUUAGAUUCCCACAAAAAGACUUCAGUCCUCAGGAAAGUGCAGCAGUGCCUGGUUCAAAUGAUUCUCCUGCCUCAGCAUCCCAAGUAGCUGGGACUACAGGACAACUCCAUUGCUGAUGAGUACACUGUGGACAUCAUGGGGAACCUGCUGUGUCACUUGCCGGCAGCCAUCAUCGACAGGGGGAUCUCCCCCAGGGCUUGGGCGACUGCUCUACAUGGCCUCAGAGACUGCCCAGACCUCAACCCUGAGCAAAAGGCUGCAGUGAGGCUCAAGCUCCUGGGACAGUAUGGACUCCCUCAGCACUGGACAGCCGAGACCACGAAGGACUUGGGACCCUUUCUAGUACUUUUCUCAGGAGAUGAAUUAAGCUCUAUAGCCACAAAG
rnacentral:sRNA from 1 species